GAAGAGACAUGGUAUAAGUUUACCUGCUUCAAACAAUGCAGUAUGCUACUGCUUUUGCUCAGAAAAACACCCUUGUCAAAUUUCCUUUGUGUAAAUGAAGACUCUCCCUGCAGCACUGGAAUUGAUUUAACCUUCCAGAUGAAUACAUGAGGGAUAGGUGUGUCUAAGACUAUACAGCUAAUAAGUGAUUGGAAUAAAUAGAAGCAUUGACAUCCUGAGCUGUAAGAUCCUUCCACUUCCUGUCUGGUUCCCUUUGAUCCCAGCCUCUCUGACAUCACUGGAGAAAUGCCAGCCUAUGGAAGACAACCUCUGAGUCUCCUGGUGCCAAAACCAAGAACUUACUUGCAUCUACAUGUAAAUCAGAUUUUCCCUUGGGCAGCAUGGAGCAAAUCCCACUGUGAAAAGGUUUCCUCCGUCUUCCUCUUUGUCAGACUGCAUGCUGAGUCACAGGAUGGACCAGAUGUGUUGGUAUGAGAUGAAGUCAGGCCGGGAGACAAGAUGGCAGGCUGAGAACUGGGGCUGGCCCUUCCUGUGCUGUCCAUUCCGGUGUGGUCCUCCAGCCCUUCUGGAUUGUCAUAAAGUGAUUUUCUUUGGCCCAUGGAAUGUGGUAGAAGUGAUUAAACCUAAGACUCUAAUAGCUGUGUGCACUCCUGCUCUCUCGUUGAAUCCCUGCCACCACCAUAAGGACAAGUCCUGAGUUAGCCUACUGAAGGAUGAGAGAAUAUAUGAAGGAGAACUGAGUCACUCCAACUAAGGCCAAACUACAGCAGCAUGCUACAACCUGUCUGUUGUGUGCAGAAUCAUGGGCAAGGUCAGCCAACAUCAAGUGAGCCAAGAAAGUCACCCAG
rnacentral:lncRNA from 10 species